rnacentral:lncRNA from 1 species
GCGAUUAGAAGCAAAGAAGCUGGAGGCAGGAAAAGAAACUGCGAGCUCUCGGGUGGAGGGCAGCUUAUACGGGAAGCCUGGACUUGACCAUCGCCAGGGAGGCAUACUGACAUUCGAGCUGCCUUCCAUCUAUUCAAGGGCACGCUUCCUCCGUCUGUGGGGGGAGAAGGUGCCCCCUCAGAGGCUGUACGAUUCGAAGUCUCCGGCCUGAGAAGUUUCGAAUUUCUCCUUGCCAAGGUCGGGCCACUACAGGUGGGAGACUGCGAGCCCC